UAAGAAAUAAAAGGCGUGUACUGAUUUAUCAGUCUAUUUUCUGUUGUGAUUGAUCGUUUGGAAUACAUUGAAUUGUGAUUGUCAAUGCGUGUUUGACCUAUAAGUCGGUUUGAUUGACGUGCUUUAUUGUGUUUUGAGAUUAGAGAAGUGUUUGUUGAAUGAGUUGUAUGAUUAUUGGAAUUUGAGUGGUUGUAAUUGAGAAUUGGAAUGAGGAAGUGACUGCAACGCAAGGGGUGGAAAUGCAGACUGCAACGCAAGAGGUGGUAAUGCAGAGACCCAAAUAAUGGGUGAUGUUGACUGCAAUGCAAGGGGUGAAAAUGCAGAAUGGUUAAGAUUAUGAGAAGUGUCAAAAUGGUUGCGAACCUAUUGUACACUACAGGGAUUCAAUCUUGGAGGGUGUGCAGUGCAUGCAGACAUCACAAGCUAAAGUUAAUUUUUUUUUGAAGUACUUAUCUUUCUUCGUAAAUCAAACUGCAUUGUACUAUUUUCUCUACUUUGGAAUAUUGUAUAAGUUGACAUUUUUGUGAGAUUCAGAAACUGUAUUGUAAUUUGGGGUACCGUAUGUACUAUUGUGAGGAUUUGUAUUUAAAAUGGUAUUGUUAUUUAUGUUAAAAA